rnacentral:lncRNA from 1 species
AGUGGCCAGGAGGGCAAGUGGCACCCUUCUGUGGAAGUAAAUUUGCCUUGCUGAGAAAUUCUUUGUUUGAGUGCUCAUUUUCCUUGCGACUCCAAGCUCUUAUUUCCAACAGGGAAAUCUUUGACCUGUUUAUGUAACAAAGGAUGAGAUAGAAAGACAGAAAUGCUCAAGGAUGGAAAGAAAAGUGAGUGAGCAAGAGAGAUUAAGAGACAGAGAGUCAGAGUGUAACUUGGAAAAGUGGUGAAGAAAAUCUCAGGAAAAAAGGAGCACUCCACGACUGCUGAGGGUUCAAGAAGAGGACAGAGAAUUGAUGCUGUAUGUGCCUGAACAAGACAAUUGACAACCUUGUUGAGAGCAGUUUCAGUGGAAUAGUCAGGGAGAGAAAACCUGGAUUGGAGCAUGCUAAGGAAUGGAAGUAGAGAUGAAAGCACUCAGGGGUGCCCAGCAGGACAGCCUCCAGCUCUUCCAAUCAGAGCUGUAACACCAUUUCCUGAAACACCGUUUUCAACUAAGCUUUGGAGUGACAAAAAUACCUGUUAUCACGGACUAAUGCCUCCAGGAAAGAAAUCCUCGUGAUAUGCAUCUGUCCCCAAUAUGGCCACAGUAAAUCUGAGAGGAAGAAGGCACAGGACACAUAACCCGGAGAGUGAGCCCUCCUGUAAACUCCAGGCUCUGAGUGAUAACGACGUGUCAGUGUGGGUUCAGCAGCUGUAAUAAAUGGACCACUCUGUAGGGGAGGAUGUGCCUGUGUGGGGUAAAUGGAGGACUAUUGCAGAGAUGCCAAC